rnacentral:rRNA from 1 species
UACGGAGGGGGCUAGCGUUGUUCGGAAUUACUGGGCGUAAAGCGCACGUAGGCGGCUUUGUAAGUUAGAGGUGAAAGCCCAGGGCUCAACCCUGGAAUUGCCUUUAAGACUGCAUCGCUUGAACAUCGGAGAGGUAAGUGGAAUUCCGAGUGUAGAGGUGAAAUUCGUAGAUAUUCGCAAGAACACCAGUGGCGAAGGCGGCUCACUGGCCCGAUACUGACGCUGAGGCACGAAAGCGUGGGGAGCAAACAGGG